UCUUAACAUGCAAGUCGAACGGCAAGGGGGAGCUUGCUCCCUCCUAGAGUGCGGACUGGUGAGUAACACGUGGAUGACGAACCUUUCGGAUGGGGACAGCCGGCAGAAAUGCCGGAUAAUACCGAAUAAAGUCCUAUGGAAUGAAGGCAUAGGAUGAAAGCGGCUUCGGCCGCGCCGAGAGAGCGGUUUGCGACCUAUCAGCUAGUUGGCGGGGUAAAGGCCCACCAAGGCGACGACGGGUAUCCGGCCUGAGAGGGUGAACGGACACAUUGGGACUGAGAUACGGCCCAGACUCCUACGGGAGGCAGCAGCUAAGGAUAUUCCGCAAUGGGGGGAACCCUGACGGAGCGACGCCGCGUGGACGAUGAAGGCCGGAAGGUUGUAAAGUCCUUUUGGUUGUGAAGAAAAGCAAGGCAGGCAAUGGUUUUGCGGUGACGGUAGCAACUGAAUAGCC
rnacentral:rRNA from 1 species